AAGCUCAUUAAAAGGAACUGCGAAGGCUCUUGGAACGGGUGCGAAGAUCCCUUUUCUCUCAGGUCAUCUUUGACAUUUUUGGUCAUAUGCAUUCAUCUCCCUGCUUCAUGCUGGGACAAGACCCAAAGCAAGGAAAGAGUGUUCAUUUCCAGGGAAGGCAAUGGGGUGCAGGCUCCCCCCUAAAACAAUGGUAAGGAGCUGUCAGGACUUAUGAAACACCACAGGGACACCAAUGUCAGGAAGCUCGCAGUUGAUUGGAGUUAAUAUUUGAUCUCUGGGACUGAAGGAGAGCUCACGCUUGCCUUGUCAGGGGUCUGGUCUUGCUAAACCACUGAGCCUACUACCGUCUGCAUCACGGACAUCUAAGGUUAACGGCACACAAGGAAUGCCAUGGAAGUCCUCGCAAGGACAUAAAAGACUUCCUCCUUCACUCCCAGGGUAGCACUGAGACUGGUUGGUUCUACUUCUCGAGCCCCGUCGCUCAGUCAGCAUUGUGCACCUGGUGAAGGCAACAGCGCUCUGCCUACAGAAUCGUCAUUCUCUUUCCAGUGGAUCACUUCCUCAUCUCCACGCCUCUUCACCUCCAGGAGAGACAGUCGCUGUAUGCACGGCUGAACUGAUGUCUACACUACAGCAAUUAAAAUACUUUGUAUCAUUUAUUUGCUUCUGAGCUUGUUUGGUUUUCUGCAGCUAUAA